rnacentral:rRNA from 1 species
CGGGACGGGUGGAGGUAACGGACGUGGGUAACCGUGCCUCAUACAGGGGAGUAACAGUUGGAAACGGCUGCUAAUACCGCAUAAGCGCACAGUACCGCAUGGUACCGUGUGAAAAACUCCGGUGGUAUGAGAUGGACCCGCGUCUGAUUAGCUAGUUGGUGGGGUAACGGCCUACCAAGGCGACGAUCCCUAGCUGGUCUGAGAGGAUGACCAGCCACACUGGAACUGAGACACGGUCCAG